UGAACAGAAUAGAUUAACUCCUAAAUUAUUCAUGAAACAAAGCGUACAAAACUCAUUAACACUAAAUAAUCAUCAGCCUGUAUAAAGGAAUAAAACUCAAUUCAAGGAUGUAUUGAUAUAAAAAUUAAAAGGAAUAAAUUUUAUCGAGGAAAAAAGAAUAAGCAUAUGCAGGGAAAGUGCCAAAAUUUUGAAGCAGAGAGACUAAUAUGAAACGAAGAAAAGGAAGACUCCUCAAUUUUCGAGUUUUAAUGAUUCUUUAAAGAAUUCACGGAAGAUUUUCGUCCUUGAACUCUUGUUUUCGUCCUUCUUGGAUCUCACUCGCCAACCGCCGCCAACCACAAGCGACCACCCUGAACAGCCCACCAGUCACAAAACCAGCCGACACCCUCACUUUCUCACCGGUGAGACUGCACUACUCUCACCCUCGUCGGUAGAGCACCAUCCUCACCGAUAUCCGUAACGUCGGCCACUGCCGGAGAAACCAACAGUUACAACCCCUGUCCACUUCCAUCUCCUCAAACACCGAUGAAGAACCAGUGUCACAGUCGACGCACCAAGCCAACGCCGAAGUUUCACGGACGAACAUCAAUUUUCGGUGAGUGACAUCGGUUUCUGGCGAGUAUUUCAGCUUUGUUCCUUUUUCUUUAUAACCUUUUUGUAGGUACUACAAGCCCAGAUCCGGUACUUCAAGCGACGACAUCAAGAUUUCGAUGACCAGCUCAUUUUCCGGCGACCAACACAUUCGUCGGUGACCAAUUAUAGGGACACAGUACCAGCAGUAGGGUAAAGGCAGCAAAUUUCGGUGACUAAUUUCGGCACUAAUUUAUCGGAAUUCGACAAAACAAUCAAGAAAACGUCCUUCACUGCGUCUUCUCCCAAUAUCAGGUGAUGCCUGGAAGUCCACAUGCUAUGUCAAUGCAAAAUAAUCAGCUGGUUGCAGCAAAUGCCCAACAACUAGUGGGCGGUACAUACCUCCACGACAUAUAUCAGCCAAAUACUACUGGACAACCUGCUAUGAUGAAUAAUUAGACCAUGCAAAGCAAUCAGAUGGAAGGCUUGCAUCCUCAACAAUUCCAACGUGAACAGCCAACGGGUUUAUAUCCACAACAAAUGCCUUCUGGUCAUAUGGCUUAUAUGUAUUCCCAACAAAUGUAUGUUAACCAAAUGGUCAGUUAUGAUUAUGGUAACCCUCAACAACAAAAUACUUAGUUCCUAGCCCAAGGAACGUCUGGGUUCUCUAUGACAAAUAAUGGUUCUUCUUAUCUAGUUUCCACUCCUUCGUAUAUGCCAUCUGGAAAGCCAUCAAAACCAUAAGACAAAUUAUCCGGGGACCUAGUCGACUUUUCAAAAUUCAAAUCAACCACUGGUGCUCCCAGGAGUGCUGACAGCACGUGACAGUGACUAGCUUAGCACCUUUUAUUCUUUUUCUUUUCUUUUUAACUUUGAUAUUAGCAUUCUAUUUGAUUCAUAAGCUUCUGUUUCUUAUUACCUUUGAUAUAACUCUGUAGUUGUGCGCCUCUUAUUACAUUUCUCAUUUUGCUGUAAUGAGUUCUCUCUAUUAUGUCUCGUUUGUAUAGUUUGGGGGAUGAAUAGUUCAGGUGGUCUCAAUUUUCGUUGUGUUUGACAACA